UAGGGAAUAUUAGAAAUGGACGAAAGUCUGAUCUAGCAACACCGCGUGUGCGAAGAAGGCCUUCGGGUCGUAAAGCACUUUUUGGAAGGAAUAGGAAGGAAGGUACUUCCAGAAUAAGUCUCGGCUAACUACGUGCCAGCAGCCGCGGUAACACGUAGGAGGCAAACGUUAUCCGGAUUUACUGGGCGUAAAGCGCGUGUAGGUGGUUCUGUAAGUAGGGCGUGAAAGCUCCCGGCUCAACUGGGAGAGGCCGUUCUAAACUGCAGAACUAGAGGAUGGUAGAGGGAGGUGGAAUUUCAGGUGUAGCGGUGGAAUGCGCAGAUAUCCGGAGGAACACCAGUGGCGAAAGCGGCCUCCUGGACCACUCCUGACACUCAGACGCGAAAGCUAGGGUAGCAAACG
rnacentral:rRNA from 1 species